CCACAUCUAAUGGUAAAGAAUCUGCCUGCAAUGCAGGAGAUCCAGGUUUGAGCCCUGGGUGGG
rnacentral:tRNA from 1 species